AUACGGAGGGGGCUAGCGUUGUUCGGAAUUACUGGGCGGAAAGGGCGCGUAGGCGGUUACUUAAGUCAGAUGUGAAAGCCCCGGGCUCAACCUGGGAACGGCAUUUGAAACUGAGUGACUUGAGUAUAGUAGAGGAGAGUGGAAUUCCACAUGUAGCGGUGAAAUGCGUAGAUAUGUGGAGGAACAUCAGUGGCGAAGGCGACUCUCUGGCCUAAUACUGACGCUGAGGUGCGAAAGCGUGGGGAGCAAACAGGAUUAGAAACCCCAGUAGUCC
rnacentral:rRNA from 1 species